rnacentral:lncRNA from 1 species
CACAACAGCUCUGAGGGGCGGAUGUGCCUGUCCCCGGGGACCUGGAGGACAGAUUGAGAUGGCCGAGUCCCUCAUUAAUGAGUGAUGGAAAGAACCUGCUUUUCCUCUGCUGCCCUGUCUCAGCAUGGCCGGCCAAGGCGCCCAGGCCAGUGCAGUUCAGACAGGCACUCGGCCGACUUUCCCCUCCGCCGAGCUCUGUGGAGUUGCCCUGGAAAUGAGGCACAACUGGAGCCGAUCUCUGGCUUUUGUUCCAUUGCAACUCCUUUCCCCUAGAUGUCCAGGGCCACACCCCUUCCUCUUGAGGCUCAAAUUCUCACCGGGCCCUGGGCUGCAGAGCAGAGUGCUGCUUGCAAGGGAUAGAACAAGACUGGCAGUGUUUCUCCGAACUGCUGUAGACCUGGGUAGAAAAGCAUGUUUAGAAACCGGAAGGAAGAGUAACUAUGCUCUCACAAAAUGCGGGCUCCUGGUUGAGGGCGACCUCUGCCCUCUGUUCUGCUCCCAGCAGUGGACUGCGAAAACCCACGCUGCUGGCAGGAGAUGAAAGGGGAUCUUUCAACAUUUCCACCCAUUGUCUGCACUUUCUCCCUGCUUGGUCACCCUCAGAUUUGUUAUGGAAUUGCGUUACUGUGGGGCUUUCCCUGCCCCCAGAAACAACUCUGAGAGAAGAGCCAGCAGCUGAGUAAAUUUGCGUUCCAGAGAGGAGAACACAGAAGCACAUGACGAAGUGAAGCCGGCCUGGGGUGAGCGUGGGGGCUUGGACUCUACCGAGGGGCACUGGGGGGUCCACUAUGGCGCAGGAACCAGAAGACCCGAGCUGAAAUCCUGAUUACUCUGUGACUUUGCAUGACUUUGACCAAGUGGUUUGUGGAGGUAGGGCUGCA